CCUACGGGAGGCAGCAGUGGGGAAUAUUGGACAAUGGGGGCAACCCUGAUCCAGCCAUGCCGCGUAUGUGAAGAAGGCCCUCGGGUUGUAAAGCACUUUCAGUGAGGAAGAACGCCUGGUGGUUAAUACCCAUCAGGAAAGACAUCACUCACAGAAGAAGCACCGGCUAACUCCGUGCCAGCAGCCGCGGUAAUACGGAGGGUGCGAGCGUUAAUCGGAAUUACUGGGCGUAAAGCGCGCGUAGGUGGCUUGAUAAGCCGGUUGUGAAAGCCCCGGGCUCAACCUGGGAACGGCAUCCGGAACUGUCAAGCUAGAGUGCAGGAGAGGAAGGUAGAAUUCCCGGUGUAGCGGUGAAAUGCGUAGAGAUCGGGAGGAAUACCAGUGGCGAAGGCGGCCUUCUGGACUGACACUGACACUGAGGUGCGAAAGCGUGGGUAGCAAACAGGAUUAGAUACCCCUGUAGUC
rnacentral:rRNA from 1 species